UUAAAGCUAGCCUAUCCACCUACCUCAAACCCAACAUUAUUAAUUACCUUACGUAUUUACACCUAACUAAAACAUUUUAUCAUUUUAGUAUGGGCGACAGAACAAAAACUCAGCGCAAUAGACCAUGUACCGCAAGGGAAAGCUGAAAGAGAAAUGAAACAAAUAAUUAAAGUAAUAAAAAGCAGAGAUUCCACCUCGUACCUUUUGCAUCAUGAUUUAGCUAGAAAAACUAGACAAAGAGAUCUUUAGCCUAUCUUCCCGAAACUAAACGAGCUACUCCGAAGCAGCACAACUUAGAGCCAACCCGUCUCUGUGGCAAAAGAGUGGGAAGACUUCCGAGUAGCGGUGACAAGCCUAUCGAGUUUAGUGAUAGCUGGUUGUCCAAGAAAAGAACUUCAAUUCUGCAUUAAUUCUUUCAUCACCAAAAAGUCUAUCAUAUUAAGGUCAAACAUAAGAAUUAAUAGUUAUUCAGAAGAGGUACAGCCCUUCUGAACCAAGACACAACUUUCAAAGGAGGGAAAUGAUCACAUUUAUCAAGGUUCUUACCCCAGUGGGCCCAAAAGCAGCCACCUGUGAAGUAAGCGUCACAGCUCCAGUCUCACAAAAACCUAUAAUUCAGAUAUUCUUCUCAGCACCCCCUUGACUAUAUUGGACUAUUUUAUAAAAUUAUAAAAGAACUUAUGCUAAAAUGAGUAAUAAGAGGUUAAACCUCUCCCGACACAAGUGUACAUCAGAAAGAAUUAAUUCACUGAUAAUUAAACGAACCCAAACUGAGGUCAUUAUAUUCAUAUUUUACCUUAACUAGAAAAUCUUAUUAUAACAUUCGUUAAUCCUACACAGGAGUGUCUUAAGGAAAGA
rnacentral:rRNA from 1 species